AGUGGGAUAGCUGGGUCAAAUGGUAGUUCCAUUUCAACUUUUCUGAGGAAUCCCCAUGCUGUUUUGCAUUAUUGGUUGCACCAAUUUGCAGUCCCACCAGCAAU
rnacentral:pre_miRNA from 1 species